rnacentral:rRNA from 1 species
CUGGUUGAUCCUGCCGGCGGCCACCGCUAUAGGAAUUCGAUUAAGACAUGCGAGUCGAGAGUCGUUAUGGACUCGGCGGACUGCUCAGUAACACGUGGACAACGUGCCCUUAAGUGGGGGAUAAUCUCGGGAAAUUGAGGAUAAUACCCCAUAGAUCAUAGCAUCUGGAAUGAGUUAUGGUUCAAAGUUCCGGCGCUUAAGGAUCGGUCUGCGGCCUAUCAGGUAGUAGUGGGUGUAAUGUACCUACUAGCCUAUGACGGGUAUGGGCCUUGAGAGAGGGAGCCCAGAGUUGGAUUCUGAGACACGAAUCCAGGCCCUACGGGGCGCAGCAGUCGCGAAAACUUCACAAUGGGGGCAACCCCGAUGAGGGAAUUCCUAGUGCUAGCUCUUUUUGAGUUAGCUUUUCUUUAGCGUAGAUAACUAGAGGAAUAAGGGCUGGGUAAGACGGGUGCCAGCCGCCGCGGUAAUACCUGCAGCCCAAGUGGUGGUCGAUUUUAUUGAGUCUAAAACGUUCGUAGCCGGUCUAAUAAAUCCUUGGGUAAAUCGGGAAGCUUAACUUUCCGAAUUCCGAGGAGACUGUUAGACUUGGGACCGGGAGAGGCUAGAGGUACUUCUGGGGUAGGGGUAAAAUCCUGUAAUCCUAGAAGGACCACCGGUGGCGAAGGCGUCUAGCUAGAACGGAUCCGACGGUGAGGGACGAAGCCCUGGGUCGCAAACGGGAUUAGAUACCCCGGUAGUCCAGGGUGUAAACGCUGCAGACUUGGUGUUGGAGACCCUUCGAGGGUAUUCAGUGCCCGGANAGAAGUUGUUAAGUCUGCUACUUGGGGAAGUACGUCCGCCAAGGAUGAAAACUUAAAGGAAUUGGCNGGGGGGAGCACCCCCAACCGGGAAGGANCCGUNCNGGUUUUAAAUUU